rnacentral:lncRNA from 1 species
GAUGGUUAGAGAUGCUUCAUUCAUGUCCAUACAAGUCUCAUUUGACAUUUCAAACAUCAACAAUGAAGGAUUUGAGGUCAGAUGAAAACUUUCCAAAAAUAGUAAGUGACCUGUAAUUUGAAAUUGCCAAAAAUGGAAAGGUUUUCUCCUCAAGAUUACAUCAUCAAGAAAGCUUCAAAUGAAAUUUUGUCCAACAUGAAAG